rnacentral:rRNA from 1 species
ACACAUGCAAGUCGAGCGGAGACAGUGAGUAGCUUGCUAUGAGCUGUUUUAGCGGCGGACGGGUGAGUAACGCGUGAGCAACCUUUCCCAGACAGGGGAAUAACACACCGAAAGGUGUACUAAUACCGCAUAAGACCACGGAAUCACAUGGUUCUGAGGUAAAAGAUUUAUCGGUUUGGGGUGGGCUCGCGUCCGAUUAGGUAGUUGGUGAGGUAACGGCCCACCAAGCCGACGAUCGGUAGCCGACCUGAGAGGGUGAUCGGCCACAUUGGGACUGAGACACGGCCCAAACUCCUACGGGAGGCAGCAGUGGGGAAUAUUGGGCAAUGGAGGAAACUCUGACCCAGCAACGCCGCGUGGAGGAAGAAGGUUUUCGGAUCGUAAACUCCUGUCCUUGGAGACGAGUAGAAGACGGUAUCCAAGGAGGAAGCCCCGGCUAACUACGUGCCAGCAGCCGCGGUAAUACGUAGGGGGCAAGCGUUGUCCGGAAUAAUUGGGCGUAAAGGGCGCGUAGGCGGCUCGGUAAGUCUGGAGUGAAAGUCCUGCUUUUAAGGUGGGAAUUGCUUUGGAUACUGUCGGGCUUGAGUGCAGGAGAGGUUAGUGGAAUUCCCAGUGUAGCGGUGAAAUGCGUAGAGAUUGGGAGGAACACCAGUGGCGAAGGCGACUAACUGGACUGUAACUGACGCUGAGGCGCGAAAGUGUGGGGAGCAAACAGGAUUAGAUACCCUGGUAGUCCACACUGUAAACGAUGAAUGCUAGGUGUAGGGGGUAUCGACCCCUUCUGUGCCGCAGUCAACACAAUAAGCAUUCCGCCUGGGGAGUACGGCCGCA